rnacentral:rRNA from 1 species
AGAGAAUAGAUACCCUGGUAGUCCACGCCCUAAACGAUGUCAACUAGGUGUUGGAGGAGCAAAUCCUUUGGUACCGCAGCUAAACGCGUGAAGUUGACCGCCUGGGGAGUACGGUCGCAAGAUUAAAACUCAAAGGAAUUGACGGGGACCCGCACAAGCGGUGGAUGAUGUGGAUUAAUUCGAUGCAACGCGAACAACCUUACCUACCCUUGACAUGUCCGGAAGGCUGCUGAAAGGCGGCUGUGCCCGAAAGGGAACUGGAACACAGGUGCUGCAUGGCUGUCGUCAGCUCGUGUCGUGAGAUGUUGGGUUAAGUCCCGCAACGAGCGCAACCCUUGUCCUUAGUUGCUACGCAAGGGCACUCUAAGGAGACUGCCGGUGACAAACCGGAGGAAGGUGGGGAUGACGUCAAGUCCUCAU